rnacentral:misc_RNA from 1 species
GUAGGUGAACCUGCGGAAGGAUCAUUAUCGUACCACCGAGGUGCAAGGGCUGUCGCUGACCUUUCAAAGGUCGUGCACGCCCGAGCGCUCUCGCCACAAUCCAUCUCACCCCUUUGUGCAUCACCGCGUGGGUCCCCCUUUGCGGGGAGGGCUCGCGUUUUCACACAAAACUUGAUACAGUCUAGAAUGUUUAUUUUUGCGGUAACACGCAAUCAAUACAACUUUCAACAACGGAUCUCUUGGCUCUC